rnacentral:rRNA from 1 species
CAGUAGCCGCGGUAAUACGAGGGGGGCAAGCGUUGUUCGGAAUUAUUGGGCGUAAAGGGUGCGUAGGCGGUUUGGCAAGUUUGGUGUGAAAUCUUCGGGCUCAACUCGAAGUCUGCAUCGAAAACUGCCGGGCUUGAGUAUGGGAGAGGUGAGUGGAAUUUCCGGUGUAGCGGUGAAAUGCGUAGAUAUCGGAAGGAACACCUGUGGCGAAAGCGGCUCACUGGACCAUUACUGACGCUGAGGCGCGAAAGCUAGGGGAGCAAACAGGAUUAGAUACCCCAGUAGUCCCUGUCUCUUAUAC